rnacentral:rRNA from 1 species
UCCUACGGGGCGCAGCAGUGAGGAAUAUUGGUCAAUGGGCUUACGCCUGAACCAGCCAGGUCGCGUGAGGGAAGACUGCCCUAUGGGUUGUAAACCUCUUUUGUCAGGGAGCAACGCCGGCUACGUGUAGCCGGACUGAGAGUACCUGAAGAAAAAGCAUCGGCUAACUCCGUGCCAGCAGCCGCGGUAAUACGGAGGAUGCGAGCGUUAUCCGGAUUUAUUGGGUUUAAAGGGUGCGUAGGCGGAAUGCCAAGUCAGCGGUAAAAUCGCGGGGCUCAACCUCGCCCCGCCGUUGAAACUGGCGG